rnacentral:lncRNA from 1 species
CAACACAAAGAUGCAAAAACAAGCAGCAAGGCUAUGGGAGCUGGUUGUGCGGUGCUGCAUCAGGACCACAGGUGACAUGCCUGUCCGCGUUGUUGCAGGUCCUGGAACAACCUGUACUGUGUGCUCAGGAACAGCCAGCUGACCUUCUACAAGGACGCUAAGAACCUGGCCCUCGGGGUGCCCUACCAUGGAGAGGAGCCCCUGGCCCUGAGGCACGCCAUCUGUGAGAUUGCUGUCAACUAUAAGAAGAAGAAGCAUGUGUUUAAGCUGAGGUUAAGCAACGGCAGUGAAUGGCUUUUCCAUGGCAAGGAUGAGGAGGAGAUGCUGUUGUGGCUACAGGGCAUGAGCA